UGCAAGUCGAACGGUGAAGCCUUCGGGUGGAUCAGUGGCGAACGGGUGAGUAACACGUGAGCAACCUGCCCCUGACUCUGGGAUAACUCCGGGAAACCGGGGCUAAUACCGGAUACGACCUCGUACCGCAUGGUGUGUGGUGGAAAGUUUUUCGGUUGGGGAUGGGCUCGCGGCCUAUCAGCUUGUUGGUGGGGUGAUGGCCUACCAAGGCGACGACGGGUAGCCGGCCUGAGAGGGUGACCGGCCACACUGGGACUGAGACACGGCCCAGACUCCUACGGGAGGCAGCAGUGGGGAAUAUUGCGCAAUGGGCGAAAGCCUGACGCAGCGACGCCGCGUGAGGGAUGAAUGCCUUCGGGUUGUAAACCUCUUUCAGCAGGGAAGAAGCGAAAGUGACGGUACCUGCAGAAGAAGCACCGGCUAACUACGUGCCAGCAGCCGCGGUAAUACGUAGGGUGCAAGCGUUGUCCGGAAUUAUUGGGCGUAAAGAGCUCGUAGGCGGUUUGUCGCGUCUGCUGUGAAAACUCAGGGCUUAACCCUGAGCUUGCAGUGGGUACGGGCAGACUAGAGUGCAGUAGGGGAGACUGGAAUUCCUGGUGUAGCGGUGAAAUGCGCAGAUAUCAGGAGGAACACCGGUGGCGAAGGCGGGUCUCUGGGCUGUAACUGACGCUGAGAAGCGAAAGCGUGGGGAGCGAACAGGAUUAGAUACCCUGGUAGUCCACGCCGUAAACGUUGGGCGCUAGGUGUGGGUCUCAUUCCACGAGGUCUGUGCCGCAGCUAACGCAUUAAGCGCCCCGCCUGGGGAGUACGGCCGCAAGGCUAAACUCAAGGAAUUGACGG
rnacentral:rRNA from 1 species